CAUAGGUGCAUGUAAUGCCUGUAUCCACAAAAGGUGUGUAUCCAUCAGAAUGGAAAUCAGCACAUGUAAUGCCUGUAUUCAAGAAAGGUG